UGUGGAUAUGUCUUUCCUUUGUGAGAGAAACUGAGCGAGUGGCCUCUUUUUGCUCGAGAAAAAAAAAAUCUAGGUGAAUGAAUUUCCUGCUUGUUCGUCGCACAUGUUUUCUGCUUGUUCUGCUGAUACUGAUGUGCAAAGAAGUGCCAGAGC